UUCAAUAUUUAAAGUCUAACCUGCUCAAUGAUAAUUUAAAUAGCCGCAGUAUUUUGACUGUGCAAAGGUAGCAUAAUCAUUAGUUUUUUAAUUAAGAACUUGUAUGAAUGGUUGAAUGAGAAAUAAUCUGUCUCUAAUUAAUUUUAAUUAGAAUUUUAUUUUUAAGUUAAAAAGCUUAAAUUUUUAUUAAAGACGAGAAGACCCUAUAGAGUUUAAUUUAUUUUUAUAUUUAAUUAUUUUAGAAUUAAUAUUUUUAUAUUUAAAUGAAUUUGGUUGGGGUGAUGGAAAAAAAUAAUAAACUUUUUUUUUAUAUGAAACAUAAAUUAAUGAUUUUUUGAUCCAGUUUUAUUGAUUAAAAGAUUAAAUUACCUUAGGGAUAACAGCGUAAUUUUUUUUGAGAGUUCUUAUCGAAAAAAAAGUUUGCGACCUCGAUGUUGGAUUAAAAUUUAAAGUUGGUGAAGAAGUUAACUUUUUAAGUCUGUUCGACUUUUGAAAUUUUACGUGAUCU
rnacentral:rRNA from 1 species